AUGGGAUGGAGCCAGAUCAUCCUCUUUCUGGCAGCAGGAACUACAUAUGUCCUCUCCGAGGUUCAGCUGCAGCAGUCUGGGGCCGAGCUGGUAAAACCUGGGUCCACAGUGAAGAUGUCCUGCAAGGCUUCUGGCUACACAUUCACCAGCUCCUUUAUGCACUGGGUGAAACAGAUGCCUGGGGAUGGCUUUGAGUGGAUUGGAUGGAUUUAUCCUGGAAGUGGUGAUACUAAGUACAAUGAAAAGUUCAAUGGCAAGGCCACUCUGACUGCAGACACAUCCUCUAGCACAGCCUACAUGCAGCUCAGCAGCCUGACAUCUGAGGACUCUGCGGUUUAUUACUGUGCAGCACACAGUGUUGUAACCACAUCCCGAGAAGACUUCAUCCAAGGUGUCCACUCCCAGGUUCAGUUGCAGCAGUCUGGGGUUAUACUGGUGAGGCCUGGAGCCUCAGUGAAGUUGUCCUGCAAGGCCUCUGGCUAUACCUUCACUGACUAUGUUAUGCACUGGGUGAAGCAGAAGCCUGGACAGGACCUGGAAUGGAUUGGAUAUUUUAAUCCUUACAAUGAUCAAACUAAGUACAAUGAGAAGUUCAAAGGCAGGGCCACCUUGACUGCAUACAAAUACUCCAACACAGCCUACAUGCAGCUCAGCAGCCUGACAUCUGAGGACUCUGCAGUCUAUUACUGUGCAUGA